UAUAACCCGGCUGUAAAAAAUUAGCUUCAGGCUGCAGCUUGGCAUGCCUUGGUUCACCCCAGCAGCACGUCGAGCUGUACAUGUGGUUAUGUGUGUGGUUUGUUGAUUGUUUCCUAAAUACAAAUUUUCAUUUAAAUUAGUUUUGCUACUUCUUGGAAGACAGUAAUAAAAGGAACCAAUGUUUAAAUGAGUGCAGUUACAUUCUUUGGCAGUCUCUCGCAGCGAGUUAAUUGUUAAAAGUAUGAAUGUUUGAGGUGAGAAGCAUACAGCCUCGUGACACUUUUUUGUUUUAAAUUAAACCAUCUCAAGGAAAGUUUGAAAGCAGGUUUCUGCACUUGCACAUUGAUCUUAUUUCACAGAGCGUGAUCCUGACUCCAGGAGAGACAUCAUCCAGCAGCUUUGAUGGAAAGGGCCCCGCAAGAGCAGCUCAAAUGAGGGCGCAGGUAUUCAAGGCGUCCUUGGAACAACUGUGCCACAGGGAGGACUAGGGUACCCCCGAGCUGCAGGGGUGUCGAAGCCAUGAAGUGUUCAGCCUCACUGUGGUCUGUAGAAAUGCCUCAGUCCGGAUACCUGCUACCAUGCAGCUGGAAAUACUGCGGCAUGGAGAGAGAAGUGGAAGUGGAAAGGAGAUCAGAAAGGCUGGUUGCACACAACUUGACUGAACAGGAACCCAAAGUCUGCUGUCAGUGGCUUUGCUGAGAUCACAGGAGUAAUGGAAGACAAAAAUCAAACUACAUCCUGGCUGCACAGUGCUGGCUACUCGAGGAAAUGCAAGCAUCAGGCUGGAAUCGGAAGUGGCACAAGAGGUAAGUCAGGGCAUGUACCUGUGUCUGAAUGUAACUGUUCUGAAUUCAGUGAUCAGAACUGAAGAUGGAGUCUGAAAAGGGAAACAUAGCAAAGAAUAGGACAAAAUAUAUUCCUUAUAUAUUCUUCAGCUUCAAAUUGUUAUUAAAUGUGUACCUCAGGCUGAACAUGACCCAGCCUGACACAGGCUGGACAGGGAUACCACAGUCUCAGCACUGCCUGUGACUGGCCUCACAACAGCAGGGCUUGAGAAAGCUGGAAAGGAGAGCGGGGAGUUUUUAAAAUGUAUAUAUUGGUAUUUUAAAAUCUCAUAAUAUUCUUCAUCAGAACUGAAUCAUUUCAAACUACCAAGCAUGCAGAUGUAUGUGUGUAUCCAUAUCUACAAGCAAUGUGAAUGUAGUUAAUAAUAAUGCCUCCAGUGCUACCCUUGCCCAUUACUUCCUCGGCAUAUUUUAAACUAAAGACAACUCAGUGAUUUGUACUAUUCUGACAGCCAGCAGGAAGCAGCAGAAAAUACCACAUCAUGGUAUUAGUGCUCUUGCCUGCCUGUGCUGAAAUUUUGCUUAUGCUUGUGCUGCACUGGCCCCAUUGCCCAGCAGCCGCUGCCCGCUCCCCGCGUCAGCUUGUCACCUCCGAACGCUCCCAAGUCGCCCUGGUGGGAAACAGGGACUCCGGGGAAGCUGGAGCACUGUGCUAGCUGUGAGUUUGGCCCUCUGUAAAAAGAGGUAGGCAUCCUUCCUUUCCCUCUCUUUCUCUCUAACAAGAAAUUUCCAUCUCAAAUGCAGCGACUCAUACAACUCUCUUCAUCUUUUUUAUCUGAAGCUCUCAGUUUCCUGAUGAUGAGCAAAAGCUAAAUUAUACAAAGCAACAGAAAGAGGAUGCCAGUUAUGAUUAGGCUAAAUUUAAUGCACUCUCCCAUGUAUUUUAAUGCUUUAUGUACAGCUAUGUGUGCAGGUAAAGGGACAGAUUGAAAAUAGUCAGGAAAAUGGAAGGAAAUGAAGUUCAUAGCAAAAGCUGUGUUUCACCAAAUGGAAAGCAUUUAAAGACUGGGAAUUGCCUCUUUCUUUCACCCAUGUCUCCCUCCCAACUCUAUCAGCCAACUUUCUGCUAACCCUCCCUCUGCUUUUAGUUAUCAACUUGCUUUUUUUAUCCCAUUCAUAGGAAAAGAAAGCAAGCAGACAAGAAUGAAAAACAGAAUUAGAUAAAUAUCUGGCAGUGUUUCAUGAGAAGCAUAUCCUAGAGAGAGCAACAACAAUCUCAAUAAGGUUCAACUUUUCUUUUUGCUUGUUUUAAGGACAGUUGCUUGGCAGUUCCAUGUUUCCCAUGUGUGCUUUGCAGUUUAUAUAUAAAUGUAAACUUCCUCCCCUGAGAAUCACCCCACAAAAAAACAAUAAUGGGUAAAAGUUUGGGGGAAGAUAUUUGUAAAUGAUAAAAAUCUUAGGCAUCUGUAGUAACGUGUUUUGUAUAAAGAUUUUAAAAGCAACCUUUUUAUUCUCAUAUAUAUGAAAUUUAAAACAUGAUGAUUACUUUUCUCGUAACCAGUAAACAUACCGAUAGGUAUGCAGGGAUGGGGAGGGACAAACAAACCUAAAGAUGACAGAUCUGUACAGAAUGUUGUUAGUAUGCCAGAUCUUAUUACAGAGCAGUAGGAGGCCUUGUACACUACGUACCAGCUCUAUGGGGACCUCCAUAUUUAAAACAAGAUGAAAAAAAUGUGAUUUGAAAAACCCCUCAUGGGCAGCCUUCAAAGGCACAGACAGGUUCUGACUGGAUUAACAUUUAUUGACUGUUUAAGCCUGCUUUUUUGCUUCAGGACAGAGAUACACGAGUUUAAUUGCAGAGGCUGUUCUGCCAACUGAUCACCAGAGUGGCAACCAAAGCUUUACUAAUCGGUCCUUCAUUAAAGAAAAGUCUCUAUUACAAAACAAAUUAAGCAUGCUCUGAUCCUAACCUGCAGGUCCAAUGGCAUUACAGCAAAGUUUAAGCUGUUAGAGCACUGAAAAACUUAUUAAGGUUUAGCGCUGAGAUAGCACUUUUGUAUUGAUUUUACAAUACACAGGUAUUAUGAUUUAUGGAGUGCUAGUGUCACUCUAACAAGCUGAAGGACACACAAUAUCAUCUCCAACAUCAUUAAAAUUCAGAAGCCUCUAGAACUAACUCAUCAACCACUGUACAUUGUCACAGACUAUAGAGCUGUAUUCCACUUGUAAAUGCCUUAAGCUUUCUGGACAGUUGUCUUCCUGAAUCAUUUAAUUAAAAAACAGAGAGAGAGAGAGAGAGAGCACCCAAACUCCACAUGCACUUUAAAAAUUAACUAACUGCAAAUGUUUCAUGCAGGUAACAGAACGGCGCUAUUAUUUACUAUCACCUCUAGCAAAAUGAGUUUUUCCGCCUUCUGUCGCUUGAAUACUCAGUGAGUACCAGGUCUCUUGGAAAUACCCGGCUGAUCCGAGCUGAAACUGGAAGGCUUUGACACGCUAGCAGAAAGCCACGCAUCGCUUUGCCUCAUUCUGGACCAGGCAUCUUUUAUCUUCCUGAACUUCGGGUACCCAGGCUCAGACCAAAGACGGCCCUCCCUCCCAGGUGCCUACCCAGAAAAUAAAUAAAUAAAUAAAUAAAUGAAAAGGACA
ensembl:lncRNA